rnacentral:rRNA from 1 species
GUGAACCUGCGGAAGGAUCGUUG